UACGUAGGCAGCAAGCGUUGUUCGGAGUUAUUGGGCGUAAAGAGCGCGUAGGCGGCCCGGUAAGUCAGUGGUGAAAUACUCUAGCUUAACUAGAGGGGUGCCAUUGAUACUGCGGAGCUUGAGUACAGAUGAGGUAGGCGGAACUGACGGUGUAGCGGUGAAAUGCAUAGAUAUCGUCAAGAACACCGAUAGCGAAGGCAGCUUACUGGGCUGUAACUGACGCUGAUGCACGAAAGUGUGGGGAUCAAACAGG
rnacentral:rRNA from 1 species